AACAAAGAGAAGAGGCAACCUUCGCCCUCUCUGAUCUGGUUUGCCAGCGGCUCCGACCUCACUCUCUAAAAAGCCGGAACCGAACCCAAGGUUUUAAUUUUGCUCAAAUCCCACUAGUGGAAGCUGCCAACAAGCUACAUUCCGAUGAUGAGUCCAUGGAUUGAAUAUAUAUAAAAGGAAAAAAAAAAAAGAGAGAGAGAGAGAGAUUUCUUUCUCACUUCCAUGGCAUUUGAUGGGCUACCAACUGCAUAAGGUGCCCUUCUCCUAUGAUCCUAGCAACGGGGUAAAAAGAAAAUGAAAAGAAAUUAUUUAUAUCAUUUUAUAUUUUUCAAAUAAAAAUGUAUGUCAGUUUGUAAAGCUUGGGUAAUUGGUACUAUUUUUAUAUCAUUUUAUAUUUUUUAAAUAAAUAGUAUGUCAGUUUGAUUUAAUAAAA